rnacentral:rRNA from 1 species
GACAGAGGAGGCAAGCGUUGUUCGGAAUUAUUGGGCUUAAAGGGCGCGUAGGCGGCUGCGCAAGUGUCUUGUGAAAUCACCCGGCUCAACCGGGGAACUGCGGGGCAAACUGCGCAGCUUGAGGUCGGUAGAGGUGCCUGGAACUCUAGGUGGAGCGGUGAAAUGCGUAGAUAUCUAGAGGAAUGCCGGAGGCGAAAGCGGGGCACUGGGCCGAUUCUGACGCUGAGGCGCGAAAGCGUGGGGAGCAAACAGG